rnacentral:rRNA from 1 species
UGUACAAAGGUAGCAUAAUCACUUGUCUUUUAAUUGAAGUCUGGUAUGAAUGGUUGGAUGAAAAGUUUACUUUCUUUAUUUUAAAUAUAUAAAUUAAUUUUUAAGUUAAAAGGCUUAAAUGGUGGUGUAGGACGAGAAGACCCUAUAGAACUUUACUUUUGUUAAAAUUGAUAUUUUUAGUAAAUGAAUUUUUGUUUAUAUGCGGGAGUUUGGUUGGGGUGACAAAAAAAAUUUUAUAACUUUUUUUAUUUAAUUCAUUUAUGUUUGAAUUUUUGAUCUCCUUUUAGGAAAAAAAGAUUAAGUUACCUUAGGGAUAACAGCGUUAUUGUCUUGGAGAGUUCUUAUUGAUAAGGCAGUUUGCGACCUCGAUGUUGGAUUAAAAUUGGCUUUAGAGGCACAAAGUUAAUAGGCUAGGUCUGUUCGACCUUUAAAUUUUUACAUGAUCUGAAUUCAAACCGGAGA